rnacentral:rRNA from 1 species
AACGAACGCUGGCGGCAUGCCUAACACAUGCAAGUCGAACGAGACCUUCGGGUCUAGUGGCGCACGGGUGCGUAACGCGUGGGAACCUGCCCUUAGGUUCGGAAUAACUCCCCGAAAGGGGUGCUAAUACCGGAUAAUGUCUUCGGACCAAAGAUUUAUCGCCUUUGGAUGGGCCCGCGUUGGAUUAGCUAGUUGGUAGGGUAAAAGCCUACCAAGGCGACGAUCCAUAGCUGGUCUGAGAGGAUGAUCAGCCACACUGGGACUGAGACACGGCCCAGACUCCUACGGGAAGCAGCAGUGGGGAAAAUUGGACAAUGGGCGAAAGCCUGAUCCAGCAAUGCCGCGUGAGUGAUGAAGGCCUUAGGGUUGUAAAGCUCUUUUACCCGGGAUGAUAAUGACAGUACCGGGAGAAUAAGCUCCGGCUAACUCCGUG